rnacentral:rRNA from 1 species
UACGUAGGGUGCGAGCGUUUAAUCGGAAUACUGGGCGUAAAGCGUGCGCAGGCGGCGCGUUUAAGACAGGUGUGAAAUCCCCGGGCUUAACCUCGGGACUGCAUUGGUGACUGGCAGGCUUUGAGUGUGGCAGAGGGAGGUAGAAUUCCACGUGUAGCAGUGAAAUGCGUAGAGAUGUGGAGGAAUACCGAUGGCGAAGG